rnacentral:rRNA from 1 species
UACGGAGGAUCCGAGCGUUAUCCGGAUUUAUUGGGUUUAAAGGGUGCGCGGGCGGGAGAUUAAGUCGGCGGUGAAAUUUUGCAGCUCAACUGUAAAAGUGCCUUCGAAACUGGUUUCCUUGAGUGUAGAUGAAGUAGGCGGAAUUUGUGGUGUAGCGGUGAAAUGCAUAGAUAUCACGAGGAACUCCGAUUGCGCAGGCAGCUUACUAAACUACUACUGACGCUCAGGCACGAAGGCGUGGGGAUCAAACAGGAUUAGAUACCCGCGUAGUCCCU